rnacentral:lncRNA from 1 species
GGAGAGGGCGGCGAUGAUUGGGUCUUGGAGAGCCACUCUGUCGUCCUAGGAGCGACACGGGUGGGACGAGGGUUAAUUUUGGCCGAUGCCCACAGGCCACAACAAUGAGACACGGAUCACUGUAGUAAGAACAUGUGACACCGCUGCAAUGCGAGUGCAUGAGGAGACACCGUGGCAUGAAAGAAAAGAUGCUCCCUUAAAGAAAAAGAAAAAGAAAAAAGAUGUGAAACAUUGAGAGUCAUCUCCUGCCGCGCCGCCCGCUCGUCGUCCCGGUCGGAGAAGGUUGUGUCCAAGGAGGUGCUGCCAUUGGGUAGAAGGAGAAGAAGAGAGGACAAGGCAAAAAAAUAGAAAAAAAGGCAAAGGGUCCAAUGAAAAAAGCGUGGUGUCUGACAGUCAGGACCCACUUGUAAGGAAAAAUCACUUAAAAAUAGAUUAAGUCUCUAAUUUUGCCCCCCCUAAUCCUAACUCGGCCCCCUCAUGUCUAAUUCCUGGCUCCGUCACUGGCGAGAAAACUGCCUCAAAACCUGUGGUUCUGUAAAAUUUACUCUAACAUUAACUUGCAACCAGUACAAACAAGUUCGAUAACGAUCUUUCAGAUCACACACAUCAAAUGAGGGCCGUGGUUUUCACCUCUCAUUUUUAAAAAUGUUUACACAUUAAUAUUUUAUUUUGAAUGUUUACAAACUUAUUAAUGAGUUUACCUGAAAAUGAUUUGCUUUUGGUUGAACUGUUCUGUGUCGUCGUCAGGGAUAUCCUGCAGCAGAAUAUACACAAAGCUGUCAUCAAGCAACGUCAUCCGGCAUGGAAACAAAGUAUCCAUCGUGGAGAAGAACCUUCAUGGAGGAAAUAGUCCCAUUAAAAAGAUGAGGUUAAAAAUUAGCGGAUGAAAACUUCUACAGUGUGCCCGUCAAAAAAACUUCUAUAGUGAGGUCAGAAGAAAUCUCAUCACCAGUGCAUAAGCUGGAGCUGGCUGUCAUGAUGACUGACGAAGCACCUGUUAUUCCUAUAAGCAAUCACAUGUAGUGAUACAUUGAUCAUCUCAGAUUAAGAAAAGGACAUUUAUUGAUCGGCCCAGGACGAGAAUAGACAGGGCAAAAAGACCGAAGUAGCAUGAUUUUUUUUGGUAUGGACUAUGUAUAGAGUAGAUGCUAGAUUACCAGGUAACUGAACAGGCAGCGAUUCAAGCAGCUACAAGAUACUUCAAGGGUUUCGCCGAAAACUGGUGAAAUGAGUUCGUCCUGUUUUUCCCACACCUUAUAGAUUAAAAAUCAGAUCACCUACAAAUUUUAUUUGUUGGGUCACUUGAGUUAACUGCUUAUAUGAUCCCUGUACCUUUAAUUUGACAUCAG